rnacentral:rRNA from 1 species
CCAUACUAAGAUACUUGGGUAUUAAAAUACUUGGGGUUAAAUAUCCUUGGGUUUGAAUAGUAUUGGGCUGGGUGACCUCCCGGGAAGUCUAAAUUUAAGAGGUU